rnacentral:rRNA from 1 species
AGUUUGAUCCUGGCUCAGAUUGAACGCUGGCGGCAGGCCUAACACAUGCAAGUCGAGCGGAAACGAGUUAUNUGAACCUUCGGGGNACGAUAACGGCGUCGAGCGGCGGACGGGUGAGUAAUGCCUAGGAAAUUGCCCUGAUGUGGGGGAUAACCAUUGGAAACGAUGGCUAAUACCGCAUAAUGCCUACGGGCCAAAGAGGGGGACCUUCGGGCCUCUCGCGUCAGGAUAUGCCUAGGUGGGAUUAGCUAGUUGGUGAGGUAAUGGCUCACCAAGGCGACGAUCCCUAGCUGGUCUGAGAGGAUGAUCAGCCACACUGGAACUGAGACACGGUCCAGACUCCUACGGGAGGCAGCAGUGGGGAAUAUUGCACAAUGGGCGCAAGCCUGAUGCAGCCAUGCCGCGUGUGUGAAGAAGGCCUUCGGGUUGUAAAGCACUUUCAGUCGUGAGGAAGGUGGU